rnacentral:rRNA from 1 species
GGGUUGUGAGGUUAAGCGACUAAGCGUACACGGUGGAUGCCCUGGCAGUCAGAGGCGAUGAAGGACGUGCUAACCAGUAGCGGCGAGCGAACGGGGAGCAGCCCAGAGUCUGAAUCAGCUUGUGUGUUAGUGGAAAAAAAAAACAAUUCGUUGCACUAUCGUUAACUGAAUACAUAGGUUAACGAGGCGAACCGGGGGAACUGAAACAUCUAAGUACCCCGAGGAAAA